rnacentral:lncRNA from 1 species
GUGACUCCGACUUAUGUACUAGCAUUGAUUGAUGAGAUAUGGUUGUAGUCGUACAGGUCACCAUAGGUGACUCCGACUGGCGUGCUAGUAUGGGUUAUUAAGCACAUGAUUAUUUAUAUUGCUAAUGAGAUGUUGUGUGGUGGUAUACUUCUGGAUUCACUGUUAGUAUACUUUUGAUUUCAUACUUAUAUGUAGUAUGAUUUUCUGGAAACUAAACAGGUGUUACGAUAAGGGAUUAUAUCGUUUAGAAAGUCUUUAUUAAAGCUUUAUUUUCUGGCCCCACUCACUCUUGUUUUUAUCCCUCCAGGUCUAGUAGCAGAGUUUUCGUAUCGACGAGGAUUCGUGGCAAGUCUUGGUAUUAGAGAUUACCUUCGAUGGUAUGAUUUUCAAUCCACUCUACUGUACUUUACUUAUGCUCUAACGUCACGUCUGAAAUGGAUUCAUUCCCGCUCACGGCGCACUCUUGUAUUUAGGCACUUUUAGGUUUAAAUUUAUUCACUUUUUCCACGUCAUCGCACUUUAUGGCUUCGUCACCUUCCAGGUGUCGGCCAGCACAGCUCGAUUUGGAAUCCUAGUGGACAUUCCAGGUCAGGGUGUGUCAUUUAUAAUCCUAUAAAUUUAAAAUCCCUCAUUAUAAUACUAUUAGAAGCGGUUACAAUAAAAAAAUUUAAACAUUUUGAUUGAAUAAAUGGAUAAAAACUAUGUAAAAAUAAGAAAUAAUAAAUGGCAAAAGAAUGUAUCCAUACAACAACAACAACAACAACAAAGCCUUUUCCCACUAAGUGGGGUCGGCUAUAUGAAUCCUAGAACGCCAUUGCGCUCAUUUGUGUCAUGUCCUCCGUUAGAUUCAAGUACUCAAGUCUUUUCUUAGGGUCUCUUCCAAAGUUUUCCUAGGU